GAGUUUGAUCGUGGCUCAGAUUGAACGCUGGCGGCAUGCCUUACACAUGCAAGUCGAACGGUAACGGGUCCUUCGGGAUGCCGACGAGUGGCGAACGGGUGAGUAAUAUAUCGGAACGUGCCCAGUAGUGGGGAGUAACUGCUCGAAAGAGCAGCUAAUACCGCAUACGACCUGAGGGUGAAAGGGGGGAGUCGCAAGACCUCUCGCUAUUGGAGCGGCCGAUAUCAGAUUAGCUAGUUGGUGGGGUAAAGGCCUACCAAGGCAACGAUCUGUAGUUGGUCUGAGAGGACGACCAGCCACACUGGGACUGAGACACGGCCCAGACUCCUACGGGAGGCAGCAGUGGGGAAGUUUUGGACAAUGGGCGCAAGCCUGAUCCAGCAAUGCCGCGUGCAGGAAGAAGGCCUGGUUGUAACUGCUUUG
rnacentral:rRNA from 1 species